AAGAAAAGCCAGAUAUCGAUUUUAUUGGAUAUAGAAAAUUGAAUAUGCCCGGUAUAACACGUUGGCUCUUGUAACACUAUUUUGAAAAAGAUAGUAACAAGAUGAAGGUAUAGUCUAUUCCUUAUAGUAAUAUASGGGUUUAUUGCAGUAAAUCAUGGUUUUUUCCUUUCGGAAAACAAUUAUCUCCCGAAGGGAGAUCCAACAAUUAUUGUGCUUCUUUUGUUUUACGUAGUAAAACAACAACAAUAAUGUAAAAGAAUACAAAACUGUAUUUUCUKGAAYACAAAAUGUGUAAUUUACCUGGUUACUGUAAACAUUGGAGAUGUUUGGUUAAGUCCUUUAACGAGCGCAACCCUUUUGAAAUGUUGGUAGUAAAGAAUAACUCUUUAACCACUCUUUUCAUACUGCCGGUUAUAUACUGGAGGAAGGGAAGGAUAACGUCAAGUCGUCAUGACCCUUAUGGGCUGGGCUACACRCGUGUUACAAUGGUAAUUACAAAGGGAAGCAAUGGUGCGAAUCGGAGCGAAUCCUUAAAAAUUACCUCAGUUCGGAUUGUUCUCUGCAAUUCGAGAACAUGAAGAUGGAAUCACUAGUAAUCGUGGAUCAGCACGCCACGGUGAAUCUGUACCUGAGCCU
rnacentral:rRNA from 1 species